AGAGUUUGAUCAUGGCUCAGAUUGAACGCUGGCGGCAUGCCUUACACAUGCAAGUCGAACGGUAACAGGUCUUCGGAUGCUGACGAGUGGCGAACGGGUGAGUAAUACAUCGGAACGUGCCCAGUCGUGGGGGAUAACGCAGCGAAAGCUUUGCUAAUACCGCAUACGAUCUACGGAUGAAAGCAGGGGACCGCAAGGCCUUGCGCGGACGGAGCGGCCGAUGGCAGAUUAGGUAGUUGGUGAGGUAAUGGCUCACCAAGGCGACGAUCAGUAGCUGGUCUGAGAGGAUGACCAGCCACAUUGGGACUGAGACACGGCCCAAACUCCUACGGGAGGCAGCAGUGGGGAAUAUUGGACGAUGGGCGAAAGCCUGAUCCAGCAAUGCCGCGUGAGUGAUGAAGGCCUUAGGGUUGUAAAGCUCUUUUACCAGGGAUGAUAAUGACAGUACCUGGAGAAUAAGCUCCGGCUAACUCCGUGCCAGCAGCCGCGGUAAUA
rnacentral:rRNA from 1 species